UACGGAGGGAGCUAGCGUUGUUCGGAAUUACUGGGCGUAAAGCGCACGUAGGCGGCUUUGUAAGUUAGAGGUGAAAGCCCGGGGCUCAACCCCGGAAUUGCCUUUAAGACUGCAUCGCUUGAAUCCGGGAGAGGUGAGUGGAAUUCCGAGUGUAGAGGUGAAAUUCGUAGAUAUUCGGAAGAACACCAGUGGCGAAGGCGGCUCACUGGACCGGUAUUGACGCUGAGGGUGCGAAAAGC
rnacentral:rRNA from 1 species